rnacentral:rRNA from 1 species
GACGAACGCUGGCGGCGUGCUUAACACAUGCAAGUCGAGCGGUAAGGCCCUUUCGGGGGUACACGAGCGGCGAACGGGUGAGUAACACGUGGGUGACCUGCCCUCAGCUCUGGGAUAAGCCUGGGAAACUGGGUCUAAUACUGGAUAUGACUCCACGGUGCAUGUCGUGGGGUGGAAAGCCUUGUGCGGCUGAGGAUGGGCCCGCGGCCUAUCAGCUUGUUGGUGGGGUGANGGCCUACCAAGGCGACGACGGGUAGCUGGUCUGAGAGGACGACCAGCCACACUGGAACUGAGACACGGUCCAGACUCCUACGGGAGGGCAGCAGUGGGGAAUCUUGCGCAAUGGGCGAAAGCCUGACGCAGCGACGCCGCGUGGGGAUGAAGGCCCUCGGGUUGUAAACCCCUUUCGGCAGGGACGAAGCGAACGUGACGGUACCUGCAGAAGAAGUCCCGGCUAACUACGUG